GUGCUCGCUUUGGCAGCACAUACACUAAAACUGGAACGACACAGAGGAGAUGAGCAUGGCCCCUGUGCAAGGGUGACACGCAAAUAUGUGAAGUGUUCCGUAUUUUU
rfam:Tupaia chinensis contig10340, whole genome shotgun sequence.